rnacentral:rRNA from 1 species
GACGAACGCUGGCGGCGUGCCUAAUACAUGCAAGUUGAGCGAUGAAGAUUGGUGCUUGCACCCAUUUGUAGAGCAGCGAACGGGUGAGUAACGCGUGGGGAAUCUGCCUUUGAGCGGGGGACAACAUUUGGAAACGAAUGCUAAUACCGCAUAACAACUUUAAACAUAAGUUUUAAGUUUGAAAGAUGCAAUUGCAUCACUCAAAGAUGAUCCCGCGUUGUAUUAGCUAGUUGGUGAGGUAAAGGCUCACCAAGGCGAUGAUACAUAGCCGACCUGAGAGGGUGAUCGGCCACAUUGGGACUGAGACACGGCCCAAACUCCUACGGGAGGCAGCAGUAGGGAAUCUUCGGCGAUGGACGAAAGUCUGACCGAGCAACGCCACGUGAGUGAAGAAGGGUUUCGGAUCGUAAAAAUCUGUUGGUAGAGAAGAACGUUGGUGAGAGUGGAAAGCUCAUCAAGUGACGGUAACUACCCAGAAAGGGACGGCUAACUACGUG